UUGGGCACUCUAUCGAGACCGACGGCGACAAGCCGUAGGAAGGUGGGGGAUGAUGUCAAGUCAGCAUGGCCUUUAUAUCCAGGGCUACACACGUCCUACAAUGACCGGUACAAAGGGAAGCAAGACCGCGAGGUGGAGCAAAUCCCAAAAAAGCCGGCCUCAGUGCGGAUUGCAGUCUGCAACUCGACUGCAUGAAGUUGGAAUCGCUAGUAAUCGCAGAUCAGCACGCUGCGGUGAAUAAGUUCUCGGGUUUU
rnacentral:rRNA from 1 species